AGCAGCCGCGGUAAUUCCAGCUCCAAUAGCGUAUAUUAAAGUUGUUGCAGUUAAAAAGCUCGUAGUUGAAUUUCGGGAUCAAAUUGUCGGUCGUGCCUCGGUACGUACUGGCGUUAUUGGUUCCUCCCUUCUGAAGAACCGCGAUGUCAUUAAUUUGGUGUCGCGGGGAAUCAGGACUGUUACUUUGAAAAAAUUAGAGUGUUUAAAGCAGGCUCGCGCUUGAAUACAUUAGCAUGGAAUAAUGAAAUAGGACGUUUGAUUCUAUUUUGUUGGUUUCUAGGAUCGACGUAAUGAUUAAUAGGGAUAGUUGGGGGCAUUAGUAUUCAAUUGUCAGAGGUGAAAUUCUUGGAUUUAUUGAAGACUAACUACUGCGAAAGCAUUUGCCAAGGAUGUUUUCAUUAAUCAAGAACGAAAGUUAGGGGAUCGAAGACGAUCAGAUACCGUCGUAGUCUUAACCAUAAACUAUGCCGACUAGGGAUCGGAUGAUGUUAAUUUUUUAAUGACUCAUUCGGCGCCUUAC
rnacentral:rRNA from 1 species